rnacentral:rRNA from 1 species
GAUGAACGCUGGCGGCGUGCCUAAUACAUGCAAGUCGAGCGAACAGAUGAGAAGCUUGCUUCUCUGAUGUUAGCGGCGGACGGGUGAGUAACACGUGGGUAACCUACCUAUAAGACUGGGAUAACUCCGGGAAACCGGGGCUAAUACCGGAUAAUAUUUUGAACCGCAUGGUUCAAUAGUGAAAGACGGUUUCGGCUGUCACUUAUAGAUGGACCCGCGCCGCAUUAGCUAGUUGGUAAGGUAACGGCUUACCAAGGCGACGAUACGUAGCCGACCUGGGAGGGUGAUCGGCCACACUGGAACUGAGACACGGUCCAGACUCCUACGGGAGGCAGCAGUAGGGAAUCUUCCGCAAUGGGCGAAAGCCCGACGGAGCAACGCCGCGUGAGUGAUGAAGGUCUUCGGAUCGUAAAACUCUGUUGUUAGGGAAGAACAAAUUUGUUAGUAACUGAACAAGUCUUGACGGUACCUAACCAGAAAGCCACGGCUAACUACGUGCCAGCCGCCGCCGUAA